rnacentral:rRNA from 1 species
UAACGCGUGAGGAACCUGCCUCAAAGAGGGGGACAACAGUUGGAAACGACUGCUAAUACCGCAUAAGCCCACGGUGCCGCAUGGCACAGAGGGAAAAGGAGCAAUCCGCUUUGAGAUGGCCUCGCGUCCGAUUAGCUAGUUGGUGAGGUAAUGGCCCACCAAGGCAACGAUCGGUAGCCGGACUGAGAGGUUGAACGGCCACAUUGGGACUGAGACACGGCCCAG